rnacentral:rRNA from 1 species
GAUGAACGCUGGCUACAGGCUUAACACAUGCAAGUCGAGGGGAAACGCCGGGUAAGCUUGCUUCCCCGGGCGUCGACCGGCGCACGGGUGAGUAACGCGUAUCCAACCUGCCUCUGACUGAGGGAUAACCCGUCGAAAGUCGGCCUAAUACCUCAUGGCAUCGUCUGCGGGCAUCCAACGACGAUUAAAGAUUUCAUCGGUCAGGGAUGGGGAUGCGUCUGAUUAGCUUGUUGGUGGGGUAACGGCCCACCAAGGCGACGAUCCGUAGGGCGUCGGAGAGGACGAACAGCCACACUGGGAGUGAGGAACGGCCCAGACGCCUAGGGUAGGCAACAGUGGGGAAUGUUGGACAAUGGGGGCGACCCGGAUAUAGCCAUGCCGAGUGCGGGAAGAAGGACUUCGGGUUGUAGACCGCUUUUGUUCGGGAGGAAAUAAUCUGGGCGAAUACGCCGGGGGGAUGACGGUACCGGAAGAAUAAGCACCGGCUAACUACGUG